rnacentral:rRNA from 1 species
UACAGAGGGUGCGAGCGUUGUUCGGAAUUAUUGGGCGUAAAGGGCGCGUAGGCGGCGCCACAAGUCACUUGUGAAAACUCUGGGCUCAACUCAGAGCCUGCAAGCGAAACUGUGGUGCUGGAGUAUGGGAGAGGUGCGUGGAAUUCCCAGUGUAGAGGUGAAAUUCGUAGAUAUUGGGAAGAACACCGGUGGCGAAGGCGGCGACCUGGUCCGAUACUGACGCUGAGGCGCGAAAGCGUGGGAAGCAAACAGG